GGGACCAUAGUUAACAAUAACAUUUGAGUUGCAUUCAAAAAGUACUAUCUUAAAUAGUUGGUCUCA
rnacentral:tRNA from 1 species